AAAGACCCAUAAGGAGCAGAGUUCCGUUACUAAAAUCGCAUUUUCCCCACCUAUUUUGUAUUCUUUGUAGUAAAACAAUAAAUAACCAUAAACUAUAAUAAUACUAUAUACUAACAAAAAUAUUUACUGUAAAAAUAGUAAAAGCGGUGGUUGAAAGUUGAAACUCCAAGAGGCUCAUCCUUGAUACUAAACACCACACAUGUACAAAAUUGCAU